UACGAAGGGGGCUAGCGUUGUUCGGAAUUACUGGGCGUAAAGCGCACGUAGGCGGACUUGCCAGUCAGGGGUGAAAUCCCGAGGCUCAACCUCGGAACUGCCUCCGAUACAGCAAGUCUCGAGUCCGGAAGAGGUGAGUGGAAUUCCUAGUGUAGAGGUGAAAUUCGUAGAUAUUAGGAAGAACACCAGUGGCGAAGGCGGCUCACUGGUCCGGUUCUGACGCUGAGGUGCGAAAGCGUGGGGAGCAAACGGG
rnacentral:rRNA from 1 species